CGACGGCGUGGACAGGGAGAGGGGCAGAAUAUCCAGUAUCGCACACUGUCUUCUCCAGCCUCACCGGAGAUAGGUUCAGUGCACAUCAUGGAGAACAGUCUGUACGAACCCUUCCCCGGCCCCGUGACCCCCGCCGCCAGGGAACAGCAGGAGACAGAAGUCGUGGAGAACAGUCUGUACGACCCCUGCCCGGCUCACUGACAGCAACCGCCAAGGAACAGGAAGAAACAGUAGUCGUGGGGAACAGUCUGUACGAACCGGUCAACAGGGAUUACCUCUAGCCAUUGCAUGUCAGAAGCACACCCUCCAUUCCACGGCCACUUUGUCCCUAACACGCCUAGCCUGCAUGACUGUUCCCGCUCCACUCGACUUCGGAAACCUUGGUGAUGUCGCUGAUUGACACGACGCCAGACAAACAUUGCAGGAAGGCGUGAACAUUGUCCUGUCGGCGGCCUGAUCCCCAGCCAUUCCUAUAACUUGUGCGCCUUCCGUGCUGAGGACUGUUCGCCUGUAGCAGUAAUUCAACUAUCGGACACGAGAUGGGAGCCACGAUCAGAAUCUGAUGGUCUCACGGGAAGGGAAGGGAAACUCGGCUGUGGGAACAACUUUGCCGAGAUAAGACAACGCGACACCACCAAGGGAAGGCGCCCACCCUGACCUAUGUGUUAGCAGUUAACUUAUGGGAUGACGUUUUGUUUAACAGCAAUACGGCCAACAGGCUCAUCCAGUCGCCAGGUACGACGAUUGGGGUGCUGAAGACAUUUGUUGUUCGUGUUCUCCAAAUGGAGCUGGGGCGUUUGAUCCCAGUUGUCUGCAGGAAAAAACUCUUGUUGCUGCAAAAGAUUCUUUGGCGUCUGUCUGUGUGUGGCAAUGACCCCCAAGAGGCACACCCAGACCCUGGAUUCCUGCUGGGAGUGACGCCAGCAACUCCAGGUCCUGCUGUAGGCGCCGAAGGGACCUUUAGUGGACAGUGAAGAUACAACUACAGCGAUCUACUGAGAACCUGUUGUUGAUUUUCUAAUCUCGAUGAUUUAGUUAACAGGUUGACAAAUAAGGAAACAUGUGUCUUAAGAAAUACUGUUAAGGAUUAUCAAAAUGGUUUUAUUGAGAUGCUUAUCUUAAUCUAUAAUACUUGUACAUGUGUAUCCCUAUUCUGUAUUGCUCUGUGACUUGUCCAUGCGAGUGUUUCCCAGCUGUGUGAUGCUGUUGUGUUCAGCCCUGACGUGCGUGUAUUAAUACAUGUGAUCAGUCUGCAGCACCCCAUUGUGCACGUCAUUAUAUUGUGUUCAGCCCUGACGUGCGUGUAUUAAUACAUGUGAUCAGUCUGCAGCACCCCAUUGUGCACGUCAUUAUAUUGUGUUCAGCCCUGACGUGCGUGUAUUAAUACAUGUGAUCAGUCUGCUGCACCCCAUUGUGCACGUCAUUAUAUUGUGUUCAGCCCUGACGUGCGUGUAUUAAUACAUGUGAUCAGUCUGCAGCACCGCGUUAUGCACGUCAUUAUAUUGUGUUCAGCCCUGACGUGCGUGUAUUAAUACAUGUGAUCAGUCUGCUGCACCCCAUUGUGCACGUCAUUAUAUUGUGUUCAGCCCUGACGUGCGUGUAUUAAUACAUGUGAUCAGUCUGCAGCACCGCGUUUUGCACGUCAUUUCAACUUUUUUUAUGGUAUUUAAUUUCAUAAAUCAGUCAAUCUUUUUCCCGUUGGGGGCGGGGACGUAAUUCAUGCUUCCCUGCUUGUUACAGUUGUUUUGGAUUGUGAGAAAUCAGUCAAUCUUUUUUGCUCGUUGGGAGACAGGGAAAACGUAUUUCAUGCUUUCGUACUUGUUAAUGUUGUGUUGGAUGGUGACAUAUUAAUCCCUUUACCUUUGAGGGGGCGGGAGAUGUGUUUCAUGCCAAGGUACUCGUCACUGUUGUGUUGGAUGGUGACAUAUUAAUCCCUUUGCCUUUGAGGGGGCGGGGAGAUGUGUUUCAUGGCAAGGUACUCGUCACUGUUGUGUUGGAUGGUGACAUAUUAAUCCCUUUACCUUUGAGGGGGCGGGGAGAUGUGUUUCAUGCCUAGGUACUCGUCACUGUUGUGUUGGAUGGUGACAUAUUAAUCCCUUUACCUUUGAGGGGGCGGGAGAUGUGUUUCAUGCCAAGGUACUCGUCACUGUUGUGUUGGAUGGUGACAAGUUUAAGCGAGUGCCCGCCGCUGUUGUGCAAAAUCCUCAGGCUGCAUUACGCGUGUCUGGGCCAGCACCACGGCCAUCCUGACACACUAGAAGCUACAACAGAACAAAACACG